rnacentral:rRNA from 1 species
GACGAACGCUGGCGGCGUGCUUAACACAUGCAAGUCGAGCGGUAAGGCCCUUUCGGGGGUACACGAGCGGCGAACGGGUGAGUAACACGUGGGUGACCUGCCCUCAGCUCUGGGAUAAGCCUGGGAAACCGGGUCUAAUACCGGAUAUGACUCCAUGACGCAUGUUGUGGGGUGGAAAGCCUUGUGCGGCUGAGGAUGGGCCCGCGGCCUAUCAGCUUGUUGGUGGGGUGAUGGCCUACCAAGGCGACGACGGGUAGCCGGCCUGAGAGGGCGACCGGCCACACUGGGACUGAGACACGGCCCAGACUCCUACGGGAGGCAGCAGUGGGGAAUCUUGCGCAAUGGGCGAAAGCCUGACGCAGCGACGCCGCGUGAGGGAUGACGGCCUGUGUAACUAC